AAUUCUCAACUGCCCCGAGCUCUUGUGGCUUGCAGGGUGAGGUUGGAUUUGGAGGGCAUUGCUGGCGUGUGCUCUGUGCAUGCUUGUCGGCCCCUCUCGAAUGCAUGAGCUUUCCAGUCCUUGGCAAAGUAUCGUCGAUGUGAUAGUUAUCUGCGUCGCUCGAGAAAAGCAUGUAAGGGGAAAUCUACGAUCGUAUCGGCCCUCGGGGGUUCCGUGUCUGACAC
rnacentral:misc_RNA from 1 species